UCCCUGGAGGACUAGUGGUUAGGCCACAGUGCUCUCAUAGCCGCGGCCUGGGUUCGAUUCCUGGCCAGGGAA